GGAACAUCACAAGAACUUACAAGACCAAGUGCUUGCGGCAUUUGCGAGUUUUCGCUCACUCAUGUUCGAGGGAAACAUGCUUGCGUGCAUGGGGAGGAUGGAUGCGUUUGACCUUAAGAAGCACGCCAUGCCACGCGUGAAAAUGUCUGUUGUUUAGAUUAGUGAGAGGCAAGUAGGUCGGACUCGGGGGUCAGUUUCAGAGGAAUUGAGGGAAGGGGGUUGGGCCAUGAGACCAUGUGCCUAAUUAGCACCAUUGUCAAAAAUGGACGUUUUCCAAUUCCAGGCAAAACACGAGGCGUUCCCAGUGUGACUUCGAUCACGCAGCCACGGCAGCCAGGUCUAACAACGGGCUUGUGAGGUGCCUCGGACUACAAGGUUGCACGGUUUCAACAUCUGCGAAGUAGUUAGUGGUUUGCGCCUGCCAUUCUAGUCUUCACAGAUGUUCAUUGUGGCUUUCCAGGUUACUUGGAUAGGGACUCGGUGAUAUGCCCGCAUGCAGGUUUGGGCAGGGAACAUCACAAGAACUUACAAGACCAAGUGCUUGCGGCAUUUGCGAGUUUUCGCUCACUCAUGUUCGAGGGAAAAUUGCUUGCGUGCAUGGGGAGGAUGGAUGCGUUUGACCUUAAGAAGCACCCAAAAUCCUAAAAUUGUGAUCGCUGUAGAACACGCCACACGGUGAAAAUGUCUGUUGUUUAGAUUAGUGAGAGGCAAGUAGGUCGGACUCGGGGGUCAGUUUCAGAGGAAUUGAGGGAAGGGGGUUGGGCCAUGAGACCAUGUGCCUAAUUAGCACCAUUGUCAAAAAUGGACGUUUUCCAAUUCCAGGUAAAACACGAGGCGUUCCCAGUGUGACUUCGAUCACGCAGCCACGGCAGCCAGGUAUAACAACGGGCUUGUGAGGUGCCUCGGACUACAAGGUUGCACGGUUUCAACAUCUGCGAAGUAGUUAGUGGUUUGCGCCUGCCAUUCUAGUCUUCACGGAUGUUCAUUGUGGCUUUCCAGGUUACUUGGAUAGGGACUCGGUGAUAUGCCCGCAUGCGGGUUUGGGCAGGGAACAUCACAAGAACUUACAAGACCAAGUGCUUGCGGCAUUUGCGAGUUUUCGCUCACUCAUGUUCGAGGGAAACAUGCUUGCGUGCAUGGGGAGGAUGGAUGCGUUUGACCUUAAGAAGCACCCAAAAUCCUAAAAUUGUAGAUCGCCUGUCGUCACACGCCAUGCCACGUGUGAAAAUGUCUGUUGUUUAGCUUAGUGAGAGGCAAGUAGGUCGGACUCGGGGGUCAGUUUCAGAGCAAUUGAGGGAAGGGCGUUGGGCCAUGAGACCAUGUGCCUAAUUAGCACCAUUGUCAAAAAUGGACGUUUUCCAAUUCCAGGUAAAACACGAGGCGUUCCCAGUGUGACUUCGAUCACGCAGCCACGGCAGCCAGGUAUAACAACGGGCUUGUGAGGUGCCUCGGACUACAAGUUGCACGGUUUCAACAUCUGCGAAGUAGUUAGUGGUUUGCGCCUGCCAUUCUAGUCUUCACAGAUGUUCAUUGUGGCUUUCCAGGUUACUUGGAUAGGGACUCGGUGAUAUGCCCGCAUGCGGGUUUGGGCAGGGAACAUCACAAGAACUUACAAGACCAAGUGCUUGCGGCAUUUGCGAGUUUUCGCUCACUCAUGUUCGAGGGAAAAUUGCUUGCGUGCAUGGGGAGGAUGGAUGCGUUUGACCUUAAGAAGCACCCAAAAUCCUAAAAUUGUAGAUCGCCUGUCGUCACACGCCAUGCCACGUGUGAAAAUGUCUGUUGUUUAGCUUAGUGAGAGGCAAGUAGGUCGGACUCGGGGGUCAGUUUCAGAGCAAUUGAGGGAAGGGCGUGGGGCCAUGAGACCAUGUGCCUAAUUAGCACCAUUGUCAAAAAUGGACGUUUUCCAAUUCCAGGUAAAACACGAGGCGUUCCCAGUGUGACUUCGAUCACGCAGCCACGGCAGCCAGGUAUAACAACGGGCUUGUGAGGUGCCUCGGACUACAAGUUGCACGGUUUCAACAUCUGCGAAGUAGUUAGUGGUUUGCGCCUGCCAUUCUAGUCUUCACAGAUGUUCAUUGUGGCUUUCCAGGUUACUUGGAUAGGGACUCGGUGAUAUGCCCGCAUGCGGGUUUGGGCAGGGAACAUCACAAGAACUUACAAGACCAAGUGCUUGCGGCAUUUGCGAGUUUUCGCUCACUCAUGUUCGAGGGAAAAUUGCUUGCGUGCAUGGGGAGGAUGGAUGCGUUUGACCUUAAGAAGCACCCAAAAUCCUAAAAUUGUAGAUCGCCUGUCGUCACACGCCAUGCCACGCGUGAAAAUGUCUGUUAUUUAGCUUAGUGAGAGGCAAGUAGGUCGGACUCGGGGGUCAGUUUCAGAGCAAUUGAGGGAAGGGGGUGGGGCCAUGAGACCAUGUGCCUAAUUAGCACCAUUGUCAAAAAUGGACGUUUUCCAAUUCCAGGUAAAACACGAGGCGUUCCCAGUGUGACUUCGAUCACGCAGCCACGGCAGCCAGGUAUAACAACGGGCUUGUGAGGUGCCUCGGACUACAAGUUGCACGGUUUCAACAUCUGCGAAGUAGUUAGUGGUUUGCGCCUGCCAUUCUAGUCUUCACAGAUGUUCAUUGUGGCUUUCCAGGUUACUUGGAUAGGGACUCGGUGAUAUGCCCGCAUGCGGGUUUGGGCAGGGAACAUCACAAGAACUUACAAGACCAAGCGCUUGCGGCAUUUGCGAGUUUUCGCUCACUCAUGUUCGAGGGAAAAUUGCUUGCGUGCAUGGGGAGGAUGGAUGCGUUUGACCUUAAGAAGCACCCAAAAUCCUAAAAUUGUAGAUCGCCUGUCGUCACACGCCAUGCCACGUGUGAAAAUGUCUGUUGUUUAGCUUAGUGAGAGGCAAGUAGGUCGGACUCGGGGGUCAGUUUCAGAGCAAUUGAGGGAAGGGCGUUGGGCCAUGAGACCAUGUGCCUAAUUAGCACCAUUGUCAAAAAUGGACGUUUUCCAAUUCCAGGUAAAACACGAGGCGUUCCCAGUGUGACUUCGAUCACGCAGCCACGGCAGCCAGGUAUAACAACGGGCUUGUGAGGUGCCUCGGACUACAAGUUGCACGGUUUCAACAUCUGCGAAGUAGUUAGUGGUUUGCGCCUGCCAUUCUAGUCUUCACAGAUGUUCAUUGUGGCUUUCCAGGUUACUUGGAUAGGGACUCGGUGAUAUGCCCGCAUGCGGGUUUGGGCAGGGAACAUCACAAGAACUUACAAGACCAAGCGCUUGCGGCAUUUGCGAGUUUUCGCUCACUCAUGUUCGAGGGAAAAUUGCUUGCGUGCAUGGGGAGGAUGGAUGCGUUUGACCUUAAGAAGCACCCAAAAUCCUAAAAUUGUAGAUCGCCUGUCGUCACACGCCAUGCCACGUGUGAAAAUGUCUGUUGUUUAGCUUAGUGAGAGGCAAGUAGGUCGGACUCGGGGGUCAGUUUCAGAGCAAUUGAGGGAAGGGGGUGGGGCCAUGAGACCAUGUGCCUAAUUAGCACCAUUGUCAAAAAUGGACGUUUUCCAAUUCCAGGUAAAACACGAGGCGUUCCCAGUGUGACUUCGAUCACGCAGCCACGGCAGCCAGGUAUAACAACGGGCUUGUGAGGUGCCUCGGACUACAAGUUGCACGGUUUCAACAUCUGCGAAGUAGUUAGUGGUUUGCGCCUGCCAUUCUAGUCUUCACAGAUGUUCAUUGUGGCUUUCCAGGUUACUUGGAUAGGGACUCGGUGAUAUGCCCGCAUGCGGGUUUGGGCAGGGAACAUCACAAGAACUUACAAGACCAAGCGCUUGCGGCAUUUGCGAGUUUUCGCUCACUCAUGUUCGAGGGAAAAUUGCUUGCGUGCAUGGGGAGGAUGGAUGCGUUUGACCUUAAGAAGCACCCAAAAUCCUAAAAUUGUAGAUCGCCUGUCGUCACACGCCAUGCCACGUGUGAAAAUGUCUGUUGUUUAGCUUAGUGAGAGGCAAGUAGGUCGGACUCGGGGGUCAGUUUCAGAGCAAUUGAGGGAAGGGCGUUGGGCCAUGAGACCAUGUGCCUAAUUAGCACCAUUGUCAAAAAUGGACGUUUUCCAAUUCCAGGUAAAACACGAGGCGUUCCCAGUGUGACUUCGAUCACGCAGCCACGGCAGCCAGGUAUAACAACGGGCUUGUGAGGUGCCUCGGACUACAAGUUGCACGGUUUCAACAUCUGCGAAGUAGUUAGUGGUUUGCGCCUGCCAUUCUAGUCUUCACAGAUGUCCAUUGUGGCUUUCCAGGUUACUUGGAUAGGGACUCGGUGAUAUGCCCGCAUGCGGGUUUGGGCAGGGAACAUCACAAGAACUUACAAGACCAAGUGCUUG
rnacentral:lncRNA from 1 species